GACGAACGCUGGCGGCGUGCUUAACACAUGCAAGUCGAACGGAAAGGCCCUGCUUUUGUGGGGUGCUCGAGUGGCGAACGGGUGAGUAACACGUGAGUAACCUGCCCUUGACUUUGGGAUAACUUCAGGAAACUGGGGCUAAUACCGGAUAGGAGCUCCUGCUGCAUGGUGGGGGUUGGAAAGUUUCGGCGGUUGGGGAUGGACUCGCGGCUUAUCAGCUUGUUGGUGGGGUAGUGGCUUACCAAGGCUUUGACGGGUAGCCGGCCUGAGAGGGUGACCGGCCACAUUGGGACUGAGAUACGGCCCAGACUGCUACGGGAGGCAGCAGUGGGGGAUAUUGCACGAUGGGCGGAAGCCUGAUGCAGCAACGCCGCGUGCGGGAUGACGGCCUUCGGGUUGUAAACCGCUUUCGCCUGUGACGAAGCGUGAGUGACGGUAAUGGGUAAAGAAGCACCGGCUAACUACGUG
rnacentral:rRNA from 1 species